GACGAACGCUGGCGGCGUGCUUAACACAUGCCAGUCGAACGGAAAGGCCCUGCUUUUGUGGGGUGCUCGAGUGGCGAACGGGUGAGUAACACGUGAGUAACCUGCCCUUGACUUUGGGAUAACUUCAGUAAACUGGGGCUAAUACCGGAUAGGAGCUCCUGCUGCAUGGUGGGGGUUGGAAAGUUUCGGCGGUUGGGGAUGGACUCGCGGCUUAUCAGCUUGUUGGUGGGGUAGUGGCUUACCAAGGCUUUGACGGGUAGCCGGCCUGAGAGGGUGACCGGCCACAUUGGGACUGAGAUACGGCCCAGACUCCUACGGGAGGCAGCAGUGGGGAAUAUUGCACAAUGGGCGGAAGCGUGAUGCAGCAACGCGGCGUGCGGGAUGACGGCCUUCGGGUUGUAAACCGCUUUCGCCUGUGACGAAGCGUGAGUGACGGUAAUGGGUAAAGAAGCACCGGCUAACUACGUG
rnacentral:rRNA from 1 species